rnacentral:rRNA from 1 species
CCCACUGUCCAAACUCCUACGGGAGGCAGCAGUGGGGAAUAUUGCACAAUGGGCGAAAGCCUGAUGCAGCAACGCCGCGUGAGUGAUGAAGGCCUUCGGGUCGUAAAGUACUUUCAGCGGGGAGGAAGGGAGUAAAGUUAAUACCUUUGCUCAUUGACGUUACCCGCAGAAGAAGCACCGGCUAACUCCGUGCCAGCAGCCGCGGUAAUACGGAGGGUGCAAGCGUUAAUCGGAAUUACUGGGCGUAAAGCGCACGCAGGCGGU